UACGUAGGGUGCGAGCGUUAAUCGGAAUUACUGGGCGUAAAGCGUGUGUAGGCGGCCAUAUAAGUCGGAUGUGAAAGCCCUGGGCUCAACCCAGGAAGUGCACUCGAUACUGUAUGGCUCGAGUACUGGAGAGGUUGGUGGAAUUCUCGGUGUAGAGGUGAAAUUCGUAGAUAUCGAGAGGAACACCGGUGGCGAAGGCGGCCAACUGGACAGAUACUGACGCUGAGACACGAAAGCGUGGGGAGCAAACAGG
rnacentral:rRNA from 1 species